rnacentral:rRNA from 1 species
GACGAACGCUGGCGGCGUGCUUAACACAUGCAAGUCGAACGGAAAGGCCCCAGCUUGCUGGGGUACUCGAGUGGCGAACGGGUGAGUAACACGUGGGUGAUCUGCCCUGCACUCUGGGAUAAGCCUGGGAAACUGGGUCUAAUACCGGAUAGGACCGUGCUUUAGUGUGUGCGGUGGAAAGUUUUUCGGUGCUGGAUGAGCCCGCGGCCUAUCAGCUUGUUGGUGGGGUAAUGGCCUACCAAGGCGGCGACGGGUAGCCGGCCUGAGAGGGUGUACGGCCACAUUGGGACUGAGACACGGCCCAGACUCCUACGGGAGGCAGCAGUGGGGAAUAUUGCACAAUGGGCGCAAGCCUGAUGCAGCGACGCCGCGUGGGGGAUGACGGCCUUCGGGUUGUAAACCCCUUUCGGCAGGGACGAAGCUUUUGUGACGGUACCUGCAUAAGAAGCACCGGCUAACUACGUG